CCCUUAGAUGUUCUGGGCUGCACACGUGCUACACUGGCAGGUUCAGCGAGCUUCAUGCCCUGAUCUGAAAGGAAUGGGAAAUCUUUUCAAAACCUGCCAUGCUUGGGAUAGAUGUUUGCAAUUAUUCAUCUUCAACGAGGAUUGCCUUGUAAGCGCACGUCAUCAGCGUGCAUUGAAUACGACCCUGUAUUCUGUACACACCGCCCGUCGCUCCUACCGAUUGAAGUUUUCGGUGAGUUGACAGGAGGAUUUUUUUGAAACUGGUUCGCCAGUGGAUUUUAGAUCCAAAUGCCAACGAAUCGAUGGCUUUAGAGGAAGGAGAAGUCGUAACA
rnacentral:rRNA from 1 species